AAAAAAAGUUUAUAAUAUAUUUAACAACAUGCUAUACUGUAAUUUAUGUCCACAAUACUGCGUAUUAAAUUUUUUCAUUUAUAUCUACGGUCCCAAGAACAAAGCUUAUUUAAAUCAACAGACAGGACUAACGGCAAGCUGACAGCCAGGCCCAACAGCAAAAAACUGCUGCAGUGACCAUCAACUGCUGCAGUGACCAUGAAUGACACAACAAACUAAGAAUGCAGAAUGCUCACUGGAAUUGGCGUUCGAGAUCAUUGAAGAUUCGUUAGGAUCCAACCAGAUCUUGUUUUUGCCACAUUUCAUAACAGUGGCGGCCAGCCUCUUCUGCAGCCGCAGAGUACUGUAAAAACAAUGUUGUUAAGCUUAGUUCAUUGCUACUCAUGCUUAAUUUACUUUUACGAGGCGGAUUUACGUUGGUUCAACUUUCCAUUAUUUCAAUUAGAAAAAUACUCGAUAAUAUAAUCGGGAGAUGUUGUUUUAUGAUCAAUUUAUAUUAAUUUCUCUCAAAAUAUGGCAAAAUUAAGCUGAAAACAACGAAUAAAUCAUUAUUUUUAUACCUCAUGACUGCUGAAUUGUAGAUGCUAGAAAAAAA